rnacentral:lncRNA from 1 species
GAGCUCCGACUUGACUACUGAUAUUAAUGAGUUUUUAGAAUACGAGAGAUCUCUGACUGUUUUGCUGUUUCAAUAGUGUGAAAUCAUUAUUGAGCCAUCAUUUCAGAAAGAUAAUUCGACGUCGGACGAUUUGAUUCUGACUAAUAGAUUUUGGCCACAUGUCAAAAUAUCAUUGGCUCUGCACUAUUCAUGCAGAUAAUGGUGAGGUGG